AAAUAAAACAUGCAAAGUCUUUAAAUACUGGUACAAAACACAUUGUUAGCGUGCCUGCCAUAACCUAUACAAUAGAAGCAUAUCGAAUCCUUAUCCAUAGUGCAACUCCGAGCAUAGGAGGGGAAGUAUUUACAAAAAUAAUUUCACAUGUUGGGAAAAAAUCAAUAUCCGAAUAAGGAUUCACUGAGAUUUCCACAACCUUCACGGAAAGUAUAUAAUACGUUUUGGUAGCGCGCUUGCCAUAACCUAUAAAAUAGAAGCAUGUUGAAUCCUUGUCGAUACUGCAACUCAGAGCAUAGGAGGGGAAGUCAAUUUAUGAAUGGAAUCAAAGAUGUAGUUUUAUAUAAAAUAAUUUUAUUUAUUAGAAAAAAAAUCUAUAUUUGAAUGAGGAUUCACUAAGAUUUUCACAACCUAGACGAAAAGUAUAUAACUAAAGAGAAUGCAAAAUCUGGUUCUCUCAACUCAACAGUAGCAUCAGCUUUGCCAUUAAUUUGAUUUUCAUUGAAGUUCCAGCUUAUGGUGUUAUUUUACAACUCAAUUAGGUUUACAUAGAUAGAUGCUGAUAACAACGCUUCCAAACUUGAUGCUUGAGGCAUGAUGUCUGGAUUAAUAAUCCACUCAGUUGUAUUAGAUUUGCUUU
rnacentral:lncRNA from 1 species